UGACUCAAUAUUUGGGGAACGCAUGCA
rnacentral:sRNA from 1 species